UCGGGAAUUUUGGGCAAUGGGCGAAAGCCUGACCCAGCAACGCCGCGUGAAGGAUGAAGUAUUUCGGUAUGUAAACUUCGAAAGAAUAGGAAGAAUAAAUGACGGUACUAUUUAUAAGGUCCGGCUAACUACGUGCCAGCAGCCGCGGUAAUACGUAGGGACCAAGCGUUGUUCGGAUUUACUGGGCGUAAAGGGCGCGUAGGCGACAAUUCAAGUCAUCUGUGAAAUCUCCGGGCUUAACUCGGAACGGUCAGAUGAUACUGCAAAUCUCGAGUCCGAUAGAGGUGAGUGGAAUUCCUAGUGUAGAGGUGAAAUUCGUAGAUAUUAGGAAGAACACCAGUGGCGAAGGCGGCUCACUGGAUCGGUACUGACGCUGAGGUGCGAAAGCGUGGGGAGCAAACAGGAUUAGAUACCCAUGUAGUCCCUGAGCGGGCUGGCAAGGCGCAU
rnacentral:rRNA from 1 species